GGUGGCUCAGUGGUAGAGCGCUUGCCUCGCACGCAGGAGGCCCUGGGUUCGAUUCCCCAGCACCA
rnacentral:tRNA from 1 species